GAAGGUUGCUGGUCCUGGUUAGGAGUUGAGAUUGACUAACGAACUGUUCUAAAAAGGUUUCAGCCUGAGUCACUAGAAGGAACAUUGCUUCGUUAGUCAUUGGGUUUUGUAGUUUGCGGAAAAGGGCUUUGAUGUUGUAGUAUAUGGAAGAAUCACGUUCAAGCAGGCCCAGCAUAUCCCCAUUAAGAAUCUCUCGCCUAAAUCUGAUUUCAUGCUCAAACUGUUCUUGCGCAAGUGCAUCUUCUUUACCCUCCGCGUCCUCAACAGCAGAACUAGAGGCGCCAUGACUUGACAAAAGCUUGUUAAGUGCAUCUGCUGGAGUUAGAUCUUUUAACUCUCUAGCAAGUUCAGCUGGCAAGACAACAGUAUGAUGUGGCUUCGACACAGAGGUUCCCUCUUCACCAAGUGAAUCACCAAUGUAGGAGUUACCAUCAUCGGAGUCGAAAGUGUCAGCACUGGUUGAACUGGACUCAUGGUUUGACCCACUUGGUUGCGGUUGAUUGGUAGUGGAAUGCUCGCCAUCAACUGUUGGCCUUUGUUCAGUGGAAAGGUUGGCAGCAGGGUCAGCUUGAAGGUUGGUUGGAGGAUCAUUAUCAAUUAAUACUUGGGCAGGAUUUGUCAAAGGAUCUUGUUGCGUUAGGCCUUGGUCAGGUUGGUCCUCUUCAUUGUUAGGCCUAAGAGUAUUAUCCUCCAAAACGCGGUGAGGCGAGCCAGGAGCUUUGGGUGGUGAUGAGGUUUCAUUAAGGAUGGCCGUUUCGACAGGCUGAGGAGAUGGAGAUUUUUCUAGCACACCUUCAGGCUGCGCACCAGUUGGUCCUUCAACCACCCCUU
rnacentral:lncRNA from 1 species